rnacentral:rRNA from 1 species
GGCGCACGGGUGCGUAACACGUGGGAAUGUACCCUCAGGUACGGAAUAACUCACCGAAAGGUGUGCUAAUACCGUAUAAUAUCUUCGGAUCAAAGAUUUAUCGCCUGAGGAUCAGCCCGCGCCUGAUUAGUUAGUUGGUGAGGUAAUGGCUCACCAAGACGAUGAUCAGUAGGGGUUCUGAGAGGAUGAUCCCCCACACUGGUACUGAGACACGGACCAGACUCCUACGGGAGGCAGCAGUGAGGAAUAUUGGACAAUGGAGGAAACUCUGAUCCAGCCAUGCCGCGUGAAUGAAGAAGGCCUUAGGGUUGUAAAGUUCUUUCAACGGUGAAGAUGAUGACGGUAGCCGUAGAAGAAGCUCCGGCUAAAUUCGUGCCAGCAGCCGCGGUAAUACGAAUGGAGCAAGCGUUGUUCGGAAUCACUGGGCUUAAAGCGUGCGCAGGCGGAUUUGCAAGUCAGGAGUGAAAUCCCAGGGCUCAACCCUGGAACUGCUCUUGAAACUGCAAGUCUAGAGUCCCGGAGAGGUUGACGGAAUUCCGAGUGUAGAGGUGAAAUUCGCAGAUAUUCGGAGGAACACCAGUGGCGAAGGCGGUCAACUGGACGGGAACUGACGCUCAGGCACGAAAGCGUGGGGAGCAAACAGGAUUAGAUACCCUGGUAGUCCACGCUGUAAACGAUGUGUGCUAGUUGUCGGGGAUUAUGGCUUCGGUAACGCAGCGAAAGUAUUAAGCACACCGCCUGGGGAGUACGGCCGCAAGGCUAAAACUCAAAGGAAUUGACGGGGACCCGCACAAGCGGUGGAGCAUGUUGUUUAAUUCGAAGCAACGCGGAGAACCUUACCCACACUUGACAUCCUUCUUGGGACUUUCAGAGAUGAUUGUCUUCGGUUCGGCCGGGGAAGUGACAGGUGCUGCA